UACAGGGGGUGCAAACGUUGCUCGGAAUUAUUGGGCGUAAAGCGCGCGCAGGCGGCUUGGUAAGUUGGGGGUGAAAUCCCUGGGCUCAACCCAGGAAUGGCCUUCAAGACUGCUUGGCUGGAGGACGAGAGAGGUGAGUGGAAUUCCCAGUGUAGAGGUGAAAUUCGUAGAUAUUGGGAAGAACACCGGUGGCGAAGGCGGCUCACUGGCUCGUUUCUGACGCUGAGGCGCGAAAGCGUGGGGAGCAAACAGG
rnacentral:rRNA from 1 species